rnacentral:rRNA from 1 species
GACGAACGCUGGCGGCGUGCUUAACACAUGCAAGUCGAACGGUGAAGCGCCUUCCUUUUUGGUGGGUGUGGAUGAGUGGCGAACGGGUGAGUAACACGUGAGUAACCUGCCCCCUUCUUCUGGAUAACCGCAUGAAAGUGUGGCUAAUACGGGAUAUUCUGGGUCUGUCGCAUGAUGGGUCUGGGAAAGAUAUUGUUUCGGUGGGGGAUGGGCUCGCGGCCUAUCAGCUUGUUGGUGGGGUGAUGGCCUACCAAGGCGGUGACGGGUAGCCGGCCUGAGAGGGUGGACGGUCACACUGGGACUGAGACACGGCCCAGACUCCUACGGGAGGCAGCAGUGGGGAAUAUUGCACAAUGGGCGCAAGCCUGAUGCAGCGACGCCGCGUGAGGGAUGGAGGCCUUCGGGUUGUGAACAUCUUUCGCCAGUGAAGCAGGCCUGCCUCGUUUGUGGGUGGGUUGACGGUAGCUGGAUAAGAAGCGCCGGCUAACUACGUG